UCGAACGAGAAAGCUCCUUCGGGAGUGAGUAAAGUGGCGCACGGGUGAGUAACACGUAGGUGACCUGUCCCUCAGACGGGGAUAACGGGAAGAAAUUCCCGCUAAUACCGGAUAAGCCUGACGAAAGUGGAAGUAGUCAUGGAAAGGUGGCCUCUGAAUAUGCCACCGCUGAAGGAGGGGCCUGCGCUCCAUUAGCUAGUUGGCGGGGUAACGGCCCACCAAGGCGACGAUGGAUAGCCGGUCUGAGAGGAUGACCGGCCACACUGGAACUGAGACACGGUCCAGACCCCUACGGGAGGCAGCAGUAGGGAAUAUUGCGCAAUGGGGGAAACCCUGACGCAGCGAUGCCGCGUGAGUGAGGAAGGCCUUCGGGUUGUAAAGCUCUGUCGAUGGGGAAAAACGGCGCACAUUCGAACAGGGUGUGCGAGUGAUGGUACCCAUAAAGGAAGCACCGGCUAACUUCGUGCCAGCAGCCGCGGUAAUACGAAGGGUGCAAGCGUUGUUCGGAUUUACUGGGCGUAAAGGGCGUGUAGGCGGGCAAAUAAGUCAGGUGUGAAAUCUCGGGG
rnacentral:rRNA from 1 species